ACUCCUACGGGAGGCAGCAGUGAGGAAUAUUGGUCAAUGGACGCAAGUCUGAACCAGCCAUGCCGCGUGCAGGAAGACGGCUCUAUGAGUUGUAAACUGCUCUUGUACGAGGGUAAACGCAGAUACGUGUAUCUGUAUGAAAGUAUCGAACGAAUAAGGAUCGGCUAAGUACGUGCCAGCAGCCGAGGUAAUACGGAGGAUUCAGGCGUUAUCCGGAUUUAUUGGGUUUAAAG
rnacentral:rRNA from 1 species